AACGAACGCUGGCGGCAUGCCUAACACAUGCAAGUCGAACGAAGCCUUCGGGCUUAGUGGCGCACGGGUGCGUAACGCGUGGGAAUCUGCCCUUGGGUUCGGAAUAACAGUUAGAAAUGACUGCUAAUACCGGAUGAUGUCUUCGGACCAAAGAUUUAUCGCCCAAGGAUGAGCCCGCGUAGGAUUAGGUAGUUGGGGGGGUAAUGGCCAACCAAGCCGACGAUCCUUAGCUGGUCUGAGAGGAUGCUCAGCCACACUGGGACUGAGACACGGCCCAGACUCACACGGGAGGCAGCAGGGGGGAAUAUUGGACGAUGGGCGAAAGCCUGAUCCAGCAAUGCCGGGUGAGUGAUGAAGGCCUUAGGGUUGUAAAGCUAUUUUACCAGGGAUGAUAAUGACAGUACCUGGAGAAUAAGCUCCGGCUAACUCCGUGCCAGCCGCCGCCGUAAGAC
rnacentral:rRNA from 1 species